GGGCGCUUAGCUGACCGACUAAAAGCCGCCUAGGGCUGAAAUCCCUUCAGCCUAGGGGCGCCUAGCGCCUAGGCCGAUUUUUACAACACUAAACAGAUCAAUUGGCAAUUAGGAAGUAUAUGAUUAAAGAGGUG